AUUGAACGCUGGCGGCAUGCCUAACACAUGCAAGUCGAACGGGGCAGCAAUGCCUAGUGGCGGACGGGUGAGGAAUACGUAGGAAUCUGCCCUUAAGUGGGGGAUAACCAGGGGAAACCCUGACUAAUACCGCAUGAUCCCUUCGGAGCCAUGAGGGCGACCGCAAGGCCUCUCGCUUCCUGACGAGCCUCCGACUGAUCAGUUAGUUGGUAGGGUAAAGGCCUGACAAGGCGACGAUCAGUAACUGGUCUGAGAGGAUGAUCAGUUACACCGGAACUGAGACACGGUCCGGACUCCUACGGGAGGCAGCAGUGGGGAAUAUUGGACAAUGGGCGCAAGCCUGAUCCAGCAAUGCCGCGUGUGUGAAGAAGGCCUUCGGGUUGUAAAGCACUUUAGCCUGGAAAGAAAAAACUUUGGUUAACACCCAAAGUCUUGACGGUACCAGGAGAAUAAGCACCGGCUAACUCUGUGCCAGCAGCCGCCGUAACAC
rnacentral:rRNA from 1 species